rnacentral:misc_RNA from 1 species
GGGCAACUUAAACCCAGAAUUGGAGAAUCCUGAGAUCCCAAACUCAAUACUAGUGGGCAAAAACCCUAGAAAACCUGAAACCCAUUUCAUAGGAUCAUUCAAAAUGAUCAGAAGAAGAUUGUUUUCUUCACUGCUUUCAUCAACCUUAAUCCUCAACACCAGAAUCAGCGCAAAACCCAUUUCUCACGCCCUAAUACCAUCUUUUCAGUUACUUCAAUCUCUACAAUGCCCAAAUCCUAACAAUUACACUUCUAAUGGGGCAUUUUGGUUUGUGGGUAUUAGGGGUUACAGCCUGUUGAGUUUAAAUGAUUUAAGGGACAAGGUGCCAAGGAAGCAGAAGACAAGGAAAGGACGUGGGAUUGGGUCUGGGAAGGGAAAGACUGCAGGGAGAGGUCACAAGGGUCAGAAGGCUCGAGGGACUAUGAAGUUUGGCUUUGAAGGUGGCCAGACACCCAUGCGCCGCCGGUUGCCAAAAAGAGGGUUUAAGAACCCCUUUAGCCUAACUUUUCAGCCAGUAGGGUUGGGAAAGAUUGCAAAACUUAUAAAUGAAGGAAAGAUAGAUUCACAUGAAUUAAUCACGAUGAAAACUCUCAAGGUACGUAUCCCUCCGUAAUUUUGAAAUGUAACCUCUAGAGUCCAGACAUGGUCUGCUUUUGUUUAUAUUGAUCAUUGCAGAUGCUAUGAUAGGAUACUGGCGCCAUAGGAAAGCAGAUAAAAGAUGGCGUAAGAUUGAUGGGGCGUGGUGCUGAUCAGAUUAAAUGGCCUAUCCAUCUAGAGGUGUCACGAGUGACUGUUAGGGCAAAGCAAGCAGUUGAAGCAGCUGGAGGAUCUGUCAGACGAGUGCAUUACAACAAGCUGGGCUUCCGGGCAUUGCUGAAGCCAGAGUGGUUUGAAAAGAAGGGCAGGUUGUUGCCAAAACCAGCCAGGCCUCCACCAAAGCUGAAGGAUAAAGUUGACAGCAUUGGCCGCUUGCCUGCUCCAACCAAACCUAUUCCAUUUUAUGCUGAAGAAAAAGAAGCAGCUCCUACUGCUGCCUAGUUUAUCGGUGACCAUUUUGUUAUAGUUAUUUAACAAGUUGUAUUUUGAUUAUGAAUAACUUUAGAAGAGAUUUUGGUUCCUAUGCAAUUUUAGUUGCAGCUCAUGCUUUUCAUCAACUUUGCUGUUGUGUUUAGGAACAAGUGAAUUUGUUUGUGAGGUUGUCUGUGCUGGGCUUCAUUCCAAAGAAAUAAUAUUUGAAAAAUUCCAGCCAAAAUUUUAAUCUACUACAUCAAUCCUUUCUCAGUGAUCAAAUCACAUGUUACUGUGAAAUCUAUGUUGGGAAUAUAAAACAACCAUGGACUCUCAAACGUGGAAGAUGGAGCUAAAUUGAAGUUGUCCCACAUUGAUUUCUUAUGGCCGCAUAGAAAGC